rnacentral:rRNA from 1 species
GGGAAAAUAAAUAAUUGUUGGUUUAUCAGUUAAAUUUAACUUUAUAUCUUUUAAUUUUAAAGUUUUUGGGUGAAAUUUUAAUUUUGAUUUAAUAAGAUUAAUUGAGACUGUGAAAUUUAUUUUAAAAACAAGGAUUAGAUACCCUUUUAUUUUAAAUGUAAAUAUAUAACCUGGGUAGUAAUAGUUAUGUUCUUGAAACCCAAAGAAUUUGGCGGUAUUUUAUUCCUUUUAGAGGAACCUGUCCCUGUAAUUGAUAAUCCACGAUAGGUAAUUACUUACUNNUGUAUUCAUUUUGUAUACCUCCGUCAUCAGAGUAUCUUUUUAGAGUUAAUGCUCAUAAUAUACAAAAUAUAGAAUGUCAGGUCAAGGUGCAAUUUAUGGGUAAGAAGAGAUGGGUUACAAUAAAUUUAUUUAUACGAAUUUGUAAUGAUAAUUUUAUAAUGAAGGUGGAUUUAAAAGUAAAAUUAACCCUUAAUUAAUUUGAUUUUGGUUCUAAAAUAUGCACACAUCGCCCGUCGCUCUUAUUUUAAAAUAAGAUAAGUCGUAACAUAGUAGGUGUACUGGAAGGUGUACCUAGAAAGGUA